AUACGUAGGUGACAAGCGUUAUCCGGAUUUACUGGGCGUAAAGGGCGUGUAGGCGGUCUUGCAAGGCAGAAGUGAAAUUCCUGAGCUCAACUCGGGCGCUGCUUCUGAAACUGCAGGACUUGAGUGCUGGAGGGGAUAGCGGAAUUCCUAGUGGAGCGGUAAAAUGCGCAGAUAUUAGGAAGAACACCGGUGGCGAAGGCGGCUAUCUGGACAGUAACUGACGCUGAGGCGCGAAAGCGUGGGGAGCAAACAGGAUUAGAUCCCCUGGUAGUCCACGCCGUAAACGAUGAAUACUAGGUGUAGGGGGUAUCGACUCCCUCUGUGCCGCAGUUAACACAAUAAGUAUUCCGCCUGGGGAGUACGGCCGCAAGGUUGAAACUCAAAUGAAUUGACGGGG
rnacentral:rRNA from 1 species